rnacentral:rRNA from 1 species
GCAAGUCGAGCGAACGGACGAGAAGCUUGCUUCUCUGAUGUUAGCGGCGGACGGGUGAGUAACACGUGGAUAACCUACCUAUAAGACUGGGAUAACUUCGGGAAACCGGAGCUAAUACCGGAUAAUAUUUUGAACCGCAUGGUUCAAAAGUGAAAGACGGUCUUGCUGUCACUUAGUAGGUGGAUCCGGCGCUGCAUUAGCGUAGUUGGUAAGGUAACGGCUUACCAAGGCAACGAUGCAUAGCCGACCUGAGAGGGUGAUCGGCCACACUGGAACUGAGACACGGUCCAGACUCCUACGGGAGGCAGCAGUAGGGAAUCUUCCGCAAUGGGCGAAAGCCUGACGGAGCAACGCCGCGUGAGUGAUGAAGGUCUUCGGAUCGUAAAACUCUGUUAUUAGGGAAGAUACAUAUGUGUAAGUAACUGUGCACAUCUUGACGGUACCUAAUCAGAAAGCCACGGCUAACUACGUGCCAGCAGCCGCGGUAAUACGUAGGUGGCAAGCGUUAUCCGGAAUUAUUGGGCGUAAAGCGCGCGUAGGCGGUUUUUUAAGUCUGAUGUGAAAGCCCACGGCUCAACCGUGGAGGGUCUAUUGGUAAACUGGAAAACUUGAGUGCAGAAGAGGAAAGUGGAAUUCCUAUGUGUAGCGGUGAUUGCGCAGAGAUAUGGAGGUACUACCAGUGGCGAAGGCG